CCUACGGGAGGCUGCAGUGGGGAAUAUUGGGCAAUGGGCGAAAGCCUGACCCAGCAACGCCGCGUGAAGGAAGAAGGCUUUCGGGUUGUAAACUUCUUUUGACAGGGAAGAGCAGAAGACGGUACCUGUCGAAUAAGCCACGGCUAACUACGUGCCAGCAGCCGCGGUAAUACGUAGGUGGCAAGCGUUGUCCGGAUUUACUGGGUGGAAAGGGCGUGUAGCCGGGCUGACAAGUCAGAUGUGAAAUCCGGGGGCUCAACCCCCGAACUGCAUUUGAAACUGUUGGUCUUGAGUAUCGGAGAGGCAGGCGGAAUUCCUAGUGUAGCGGUGAAAUGCGUAGAUAUUAGGAGGAACACCAGUGGCGAAGGCGGCCUGCUGGACGACAACUGACGGUGAGGCGCGAAAGCGUGGGGAGCAAACAGGAUUAGAUACCCUAGUAGUC
rnacentral:rRNA from 1 species